UACGGGGGGGAGCAAGCGUUGCUCGGAAUCAUUGGGCGUAAAGAGCGCGUAGGCGGUCCGGUAAGUCGGUUGUGAAAACUGGGGGCUCAACCCUCAGAGGCCGACCGAUACUGUCGGGCUAGAGUCCGGAAGAAGCGAGUGGAAUUCCUGGUGUAGCGGUGAAAUGCGCAGAUAUCAGGAGGAACACCAAUGGCGAAGGCAGCUCGCUGGGACGGUACUGACGCUGAGGCGCGAAAGCGUGGGGAGCAAACAGG
rnacentral:rRNA from 1 species